rnacentral:rRNA from 1 species
UGGGGAAUUUUGGACAAUGGGGGAAACCCUGAUCCAGCCAUCCCGCGUGUGCGAUGAAGGCCUUCGGGUUGUAAAGCACUUUUGGCAGGAAAGAAACGUCGCGGGUUAAUACCCCGCGGAACUGACGGUACCUGCAGAAUAAGCACCGGCUAACUACGUGCCAGCAGCCGCGGUAAUACGUAGGGUGCAAGCGUUAAUCGGAAUUACUGGGCGUAAAGCGUGCGCAGGCGGUUCGGAAAGAAAGAUGUGAAAUCCCAGAGCUUAACUUUGGAACUGCAUUUUUAACUACCGGGCUAGAGUGUGUCAGAGGGAGGUGGAAUUCCGCGUGUAGCAGUGAAAUGCGUAGAUAUGCGGAGGAACACCGAUGGCGAAGGCAGCCUCCUGGGAUAACACUGACGCUCAUGCACGAAAGCGUGGGGAGCAAACAGGAUUAGAUACCCUGGUAGUCCACGCCCUAAACGAUGUCAACUAGCUGUUGGGGUCUUCGGACCUUGGUAGCGCAGCUAACGCGUGAAGUUGACCGCCUGGGGAGUACGGUCGCAAGAUUAAAACUCAAAGGAAUUGACGGGGUCGAUA